AAACUGGAAAUAUCCAUAACUUCUCACGAUGGUAUCUUACAUUACAGUCUUGGCAACCCUCGUGGUUAUGUUCAGUGUUUGCAGUAUAGGCAAUGCGUUCUUCUUCUGCACCUUUAAGACUUGUCCAUACGUACCGUGUUGCACAAUGACGUGCCUGUUCUCAGGACGUGGACCGUAUGCAUACUGUAACAGUACUAAUGCGUGCAUUUGUGGACAACCACCAACUACUACCUAGUGAAAUAUUUCAUCUGUGCUGUUUGUAACCUUAGUAUAGUAUAUUGCAGUUGAAGAAUUAAUAAACUUUGAAGUAGUAUAUUAA